rnacentral:rRNA from 1 species
AUUGAACGCUGGCGGCAGGCCUAACACAUGCAAGUCGAACGGUAACAGGAAACAGCUUGCUGUUUCGCUGACGAGUGGCGGACGGGUGAGUAAUGUCUGGGAAACUGCCUGAUGGAGGGGGAUAACUACUGGAAACGGUAGCUAAUACCGCAUAACGUCGCAAGACCAAAGAGGGGGACCCUCGGGCCUCUUGCCAUCGGAUGUGCCCAGAUGGGAUUAGCUUGUUGGUGGGGUAACGGCUCACCAAGGCGACGAUCCCUAGCUGGUCUGAGAGGAUGACCAGCCACACUGGAACUGAGACACGGUCCAGACUCCUACGGAAGGCAGCAGUGGGGAAUAUUGCACAAUGGGCGCAAGCCUGAUGCAGCCAUGCCGCGUGUAUGAAGAAGGCCUUCGGGUUGUAAAGUACUUUCAGCGGGGAGGAAGGGAGUAAAGUUAAUACCUUUGCUCAUUGACGUUACCCGCAGAAGAAGCACCGGCUAACUCCGU